rnacentral:rRNA from 1 species
UUAAGACAGAUUACUUCGGUUUGAAGUCUUUUAUGACUGAGUGGCGGACGGGUGAGUAACGCGUGGGUAACCUGCCUCAUACAGGGGGAUAGCAGCUGGAAACGGCUGGUAAUACCGCAUAAGCGCACGGUAUCGCAUGAUACAGUGUGAAAAACUCCGGUGGUAUGAGAUGGACCCGCGUCUGAUUAGCUGGUUGGUGAGGUAACGGCCCACCAAGGCGACGAUCAGUAGCCGACCUGAGAGGGUGACCGGCCACAUUGGGACUGAGACACGGCCCAGACUCCUACGGGAGGCAGCAGUGGGGAAUAUUGCACAAUGGAGGAAACUCUGAUGCAGCGACGCCGCGUGAGUAAAGAAGUAGUUCGCUAUGUAAAGCUCUAUCAGCAGGGAAGAUAGUGACGGUACCUGACUAAGAAGCUCCGGCUAAAUACGUGCCAGCAGCCGCGGUAAUACGUAUGGAGCAAGCGUUAUCCGGAUUUACUGGGUGUAAAGGGAGUGUAGGUGGCCAGGCAAGUCAGAAGUGAAAGCCCGGGGCUCAACCCCGGGACUGCUUUUGAAACUGCAGGGCUAGAGUGCAGGAGGGGCAAGUGGAAUUCCUAGUGUAGCGGUGAAAUGCGUAGAUAUUAGGAGGAACACCAGUGGCGAAGGCGGCUUGCUGGACUGUAACUGACACUGAGGCUCGAAAGCGUGNGGAGCAAACAGGAUUAGAUACCCUGGUAGUCCNCGCCGU